UACGUAGGUGGCAAGCGUUGUCCGGAAUUACUGGGUGUAAAGGGCGUGUAGGCGGGGAGACAAGUCAGAUGUGAAAUACCGUGGCUUAACUGCGGGGGUGCAUCUGAAACUGUUUCUCUUGAGUGUCGGAGAGGAAAGUGGAAUUCCCAGUGUAGCGGUGAAAUGCGUAGAGAUUGGGAGGAACACCAGUGGCGAAGGCGGCUUUCUGGACGAUAACUGACGCUGAGGCGCGAAAGCGUGGGUAGCAAACAGGAUUAGAUACCCCCGUAGUCCCUGA
rnacentral:rRNA from 1 species